ensembl:snoRNA
GUGCGUAUUUCAUUGUCUACUUUUAUGUCAAGAGAAAAGAUAUUUCCGAUGUGCUAAACAAACCUUGGGAGUGAAUUAGCAGCAUGGCUAAGUUAGCCUUUGCUGUCAGCCACCUUCAGAGGAGU